rnacentral:rRNA from 1 species
AUUGAACGCUGGCGGCAGGCCUAACACAUGCAAGUCGAGCGGACGGACGGGGCUCGCGCCUGUCUUCCGUGGCGGACGGGCGGGUAAUGCACACGUGUCUGCCCGACCUAUGGGGAUAACGUACGUUAAGGGGCCCUAAUACCAUAUCCGUUCAGAGGUAGAACGGGGGGGAUCUUUGGAGAUAGCGGUUUUUGCUGUGACUAGGACGUAUUAGCUAGUUGGUGGGGUAAGGGCUUACCAAGGCGACGAUCCGUAGCUGGUCUGAGAGGAUGAUCAGUCACACUGGAACUGAGACACGGUCCAGACUCCUACGGGAGGCAGCAGUAGGGAAUCUUGGGCAAUGGGCGAAAGCCUGACCCAGCAAUGCCGCGUGUGUGAAGAAGGUCUUCGGAUUGUAAAGCUCUGUUAGUUGGGAAGAACAGCUGUGUAUUUAACCCUUGCUGUUUUGACGGUACCAACAGAGAAAGCCACGGCUAACUUCGUG